GACGAACGCUGGCGGCGUGCCUAAUACAUGCAAGUAGAACGCUGAAGGAGGAGCUUGCUUCUCUGGAUGAGUUGCGAACGGGUGAGUAACGCGUAGGUAACCUGCCUGGUAGCGGGGGAUAACUAUUGGAAACGAUAGCUAAUACCGCAUAAUAGCAGUUGUUGCAUGACAACUGUUUGAAAGGUGCAAUUGCAUCACUACCAGAUGGACCUGCGUUGUAUUAGCUAGUUGGUGGGGUAAGGGCUCACCAAGGCGACGAUACAUAGCCGACCUGAGAGGGUGAUCGGCCACACUGGGACUGAGACACGGCCCAGACUCCUACGGGAGGCAGCAGUAGGGAAUCUUCGGCAAUGGACGGAAGUCUGACCGAGCAACGCCGCGUGAGUGAAGAAGGUUUUCGGAUCGUAAAGCUCUGUUGUAAGAGAAGAACGAGUGUGAGAGUGGAAAGUUC
rnacentral:rRNA from 1 species